CAAGUCGAACGAAUCUCUGUCUUGUAGCAAUACCGGGCAGGGGGAAGUGGCGAAAGGGGCAGUAAGGCGUGGGUAACCUACCCUGGGGAUGGGGAUAGCCGUUCUAACGAGCGGGUAAUACCCGGCGAUUCGGCCGAGAGGACAUCCUCUUGCCGGGAAAUGAAUUUCGCCUCGGGAGGGGCUCACGUGCUAUUAGCUAGUUGGCGGGGUAGCGGCCCACCAAGGCAAAGAUGGCUAGCGGGUGUGAGAGCACGACCCGCGCCACUGGCACUGAGACACUGGCCAGACACCUACGGGUGGCUGCAGCCGAGGAUCUUCGUCAAUGGGCGCAAGCCUGAACGAGCGACGCCGCGUGUGCGAUGAAGGCCUUCGGGUUGUAAAGCACUGACGAGGGGGAUCAAGGCCGCAGGGUUUGAUUGAUCCCUGGAGGAAGCACGGGCUAAGUUCGUGCCAGCAGCCGCGGUAAGACGAACCGUGCGAACGUUGUUCGGAAUCACUGGGCUUAAAGGGCGCGUAGGCGGCAGGCGAGGUCGGGGGUGAAAUCCCACAGCUUAACUGUGGAAGAGCCUUCNAUACCGGCUUGCUGGAGGAAGGUAGGGGUGCGCGGAACUUCUGGUGGAGCGGUGAAAUGCGUUGAUAUCAGAAGGAACGCCGGCGGCGAAAGCGGCGCACUGGACCUUUUCUGACGCUGAGGCGCGAAAGCCAGGGGAGCAAACGGGAUUAGAUACCCCGGUAGUCCUGGCCCUAAACGAUGGGUACUAGGUCGUGGGCCGGUCAUGGGCUCACAGCCGAAGCAAAAGUGUUAAGUACCCCGCCUGGGGAGUAUGGUCGCAAGGCUGAAACUCAAAGGAAUUGAC
rnacentral:rRNA from 1 species